AGAAGGCAGGACAAAUCUGGACCUGGGAAGGAAGUAAAGAAUACAGUUCCUCUGAGGACAUAAAAAAAUCUCAGAACUUCCCUGUCCUGUGUGUCCACUGUGCCACCCAUAUUUCUGGAGGCUUCACCCAUGAAGGCAUUCCAUUCCAUUCAAGGAGGAUCUGUCUGACUUGGAACUUGCUAAGUAGAGCAGGCUGUCCCCUAACUCACAGCCAUCUGCCAGCUGAGAUUAAAGAAUUUCAUUUUGUCAACUCUUCUCUGACCCGGCAGGCCCAUGGUGUGACUUCAUGUGGACAUCCAGGUGUUACAUGCCUCAGAGCAAAUGACCUGAAAAUGACUGAUGAAGACAGGCUGGUGGUAUGCUAUUAG
rnacentral:lncRNA from 1 species